rnacentral:rRNA from 1 species
GUCCACGCCGUAAACGAUAACCACUAGAUGUUGGUUCGGCUUAGCUGGAUCAGUGUCGUAGCUAACGCGUUAAGUGGUUCGCCUGGGGAGUAUGGUCGCAAGGCUAAAACUCAAAUGAAUUGACGGGGGCCCGCACAAGCGGUGGAGCAUGUGGUUUAAUUCGAUGCAACGCGAAGAACCUUACCUACUCUUGACAUCCACGGAAUUUGGCAGAGAUGCCUUAGUGCCUUCGGGAACCGUGAGACAGGUGCUGCAUGGCUGUCGU